CGCACAUUGCGCCCCUUGGUAUUCCGGGGGGCAUGCCUGUUCGAGCGUCAUUUCAACCCUCAAGCUCUGCUUGGUAUUGGGCCUCGCCGGUAACGACGGGCCUCAAACGUAGUGGCGGUGCCAUCGUGUCCCUCAGCGUAGUAAUUUCUUCUCGCUGUUUGGGUUCCGUUGGUCGCUGGCCAACAACCUCAAUUUUUCUAUGGUUGACCUCGGAUCAGGUAGGGAUACCCGCUGAACUUAA
rnacentral:misc_RNA from 1 species